rnacentral:rRNA from 1 species
UACGUAGGUGGCAAGCGUUGUCCGGAUUUACUGGGCGUAAAGAGCGCGCGGGCGGUCGAUUUAGUCGCGUGUGAAAGCCCCCGGCUCAACUGGGGAGGGUCACGCGAUACUGAUCGACUCGAAGGCAGGAGAGGGUAGUGGAAUUCCCGGUGUAGUGGUGAAAUGCGUAGAUAUCGGGAGGAACACCAGUGGCGAAGGCGACUUCCUGGCCUGUUCUUGACGCUGAGGCGCGAAAGCUAGGGGAGCAAACGGG